rnacentral:misc_RNA from 1 species
GAUGAAGAACGUAGUGAAAUGCGAUAAGUAGUGUGAAUUGCAGAAUUCAGUGAAUCAUCGAAUCUUUGAACGCACAUUGCGCCCCUUGGUAUUCCAUGGGGCAUGCCUGUUCGAGCGUCAUUUGUACCUUCAAUCUUUGCUUGGUGUUGGGUGUUUGUCUCGCCUUUGCGUGUAGACUCGCCUUAAAAUAAUUGGCAGCCGGCGUAUUGAUUUCGGAGCGCAGUACAUCUCGCGCUUUGCACUCAUAACGACAGCGUCCAAAAGUACAUUUUACACUCUUGACCUCGGAUCAGGUAGGGAUACCCGCUGAACUUAAGCAUAUCAAUAAGCGGAGGA